ACUUUGACUGCAAGAACCAUCUUGAUAGUAGAGCUUGUCAUUUCAUUAUUAACUUGCUUUUCACAGACUUUUAAAUACGGGUCGAUUAAUUUGAAAGAUAUAUUAGUUACAGCUUGGUGUGCAAGAUGACUUUUUCUCCUCUGGUGAUUAUCUUCUUGUUAAGUGUCUUCUUAUCUAAUUGUGACAGCAGUGCUUCCAGUAGUGGCUCUAGCAGUGAGUCUAACAGUCAUGAAAGUGGUCGUCCUGGAUUGAACCCUAACUUGAUAUCGCUUUUGUGUCGCCUGUGCCCGAGUCUGUGCCAGCAACCACCACCACCACCACCACCAACAACAACAACAACAACAACAACAACAACCACAACAACAACAAGAUCCACAACAGUGACCCCCAACCCACUUACCACAACAGAGGAGCCUCGAGGAGACAGCUUGUGAUGAAUUCAAUAGUUUGUUUUAGUUACGUGACAACAAAUGGAUUCACCGUGGAUUUAAAAAGUCUAUAAAGACCAUUUUUAACUUGGAGAAGUCAAACCAAUGCUUUUUGGCACAUUUUUUUUUACAUAGAUCCAGUAUUGCUUCAGCUGUUUUGCGGAGUUCACUUUUUAAAUGUAUCUGUAAUUACUAAUUCUCGGCCUCAUCUGUGAAGUCUGCUUCACUGUAUUGCACUGUGUUACCUCUGGCUUUCUCACAAACAACAAAUUCAGUUCAUCAUUUUUUUAAUGCAGUUUACUCAUUGUAAAAGUUUGAUUUGUGAUGUUUGUUUAAAAUGAUAAUAAUUCUUUAUUUAUCCUUUUUUGUAUCAAAGUAUUUUUGCACACAUUUUACUUUUUAUUUAAUGGAGGGCUCUACUUUAUUAUGGCAUUAUUUUUGUAAAUGUAUUUGAACAUGAUUAGGUUGGAAAUGCAACAAAAUUUGAUUUAUUAUUCCUUUAAAAAUGUGUUAAAAAUGUGUUAAAAACAGACCUCCUUUGUAUUAGCUGAUUAAAGAGUUGCUUAAAAGUUAACAGUAUUGUAUUUUAUCAUUCCAUGCAUUACAUGGCUAAGAUAGUAAACCUACUGAUAUAGCCAAAUCUGAAUUAUUAAGCAAAACUUGAAACUUGCAAAAAAAAUGUGAUUUUUCUUCUUUUCUUUUUUUAAUUACAAAUGUAAUUCUAAAAGUGUUGCCAGCACAUUUUAAUGGCAUAUACAUUGUUAAACC
rnacentral:lncRNA from 1 species